rnacentral:rRNA from 1 species
UACGUAGGGCGCAAGCGUUGUCCGGAAUUAUUGGGCGUAAAGAGCUCGUAGGCGGUUUGUCGCGUCUGCUGUGAAAACCUAAGGCUCAACCUUGGGCUUGCAGUGGGUACGGGCAGACUAGAGUGCGGUAGGGGUGACUGGAAUUCCUGGUGUAGCGGUGGAAUGCGCAGAUAUCAGGAGGAACACCGGUGGCGAAGGCGGAUCUCUGGGCCUGUCCUGACGCUCAGGCGCGAAAGCUAGGGGAGCAAACAGG